rnacentral:rRNA from 1 species
GGGAUUGCCUCAGUAACGGCGAGUGAAGCGGCAAAAGCUCAAAUUUGAAAUCUGGCUCUUUCAGGGUCCGAGUUGUAAUUUGUAGAAGAUGUUUCGGGUGUGGCUCCGGUUUAAGUUCUUUGGAAUAUUACAUCAUAGAGGGUGAGAAUCCCGUAUGUGACCGGCAGCCUUCGUCCAUGUGAAACUCUUUCGACGAGUCGAGUUGUUUGGGAAUGCAGCUCAAAAUGGGAGGUAUAUUUCUUCUAAAGCUAAAUAUAGGCCAGAGACCGAUAGCGCACAAGUAGAGUGAUCGAAAGAUGAAAAGCACUUUGGAAAGAGAGUUAAACAGUACGUGAAAUUGUUGAAAGGGAAGCGCUUGCAACCAGACUUGCACGCAGUUGAUCAUCCGGUGUUCUCACCGGGGCACUCUGCUGCGUUCAGGCCAGCAUCGGUUUUGGUGGUUGGAUAAAGGCCUUGGGAAUGUGGCUUCCUUCGGGGAGUGUUAUAGCCCUCGGUGCAAUGCAGCCUACCGGGACCGAGGACCGCGCUUCGGCUAGGAUGCUGGCGUAAUGGUUGUAAGCGACCCGUCUUGAAACACGGACCAAGGAGUCUAACAUCUAUGCGAGUGUUUGGGUGUCAAACCCAUACGCGUAAUGAAAGUGAACGGAGGUGAGAACCCUUAAGGGUGCAUCAUCGACCGGUCCUGAAGUCUUCGGAUGGAUCUGAGUAAGAGCAUAGCUGUUGGGACCCGAAAGAUGGUGAACUAUGCGUGAAUAGGGUGAAGCCAGAGGAAACUCUGGUGGAGGCU